CUAAAGGGACUGCCGGUGUUAAACCGGAGGAAGGUGGGGAUGACGUCAAGUCCUCAUGGCCUUUAUGACCAGGGCUACACACGUACUACAAUGGCCGAUACAAAGGGCAGCGACACUGCGAGGUGGAGCCAACUCCCAAAAAGUGCGUCCCAGUCCGGAUUGCAGUCUGCAACUCGACUGCAUGAAGUUGGAAUCGCUAGUAAUUCGAGAUCAGCAUGCUCGGGUGAAUGCGUUCCCGGGCCUU
rnacentral:rRNA from 1 species